rnacentral:rRNA from 1 species
UUAAGCGACUAAGCGUACACGGUGGAUGCCCUGGCAGUCAGAGGCGAUGAAGGGCGUGCUAAUCUGCGAUAAGCGCCGGUAAGGUGAUAUGAACCGUUAUAACCGGCGAUACCCGAAUGGGGAAACCCAGUGUGACUCGUCACACUAUCAUUAACUGAAUCCAUAGGUUAAUGAGGCGAACCGGGGGAACUGAAACAUCUAAGUACCCCGAGGAAAAGAAAUCAACCGAGAUUCCCCCAGUAGCGGCGAGCGAACGGGGAGGAGCCCAGAGCCUGAAUCAGCAUGUGUGUUAGUGGAAGCGUCUGGAAAGGCGCGCGAUACAGGGUGACAGCCCCGUACACAAAAGCGCAUGUGCUGUGAGCUCGAUGAGUAGGGCGGGACACGUGGUAUCCUGUCUGAAUAUGGGGGGACCAUCCUCCAAGGCUAAAUACUCCUGACUGACCGAUAGUGAACCAGUACCGUGAGGGAAAGGCGAAAAGAACCCCGGCGAGGGGAGUGAAAAAGAACCUGAAACCGUGUACGUACAAGCAGUGGGAGCACCCUUCGGGGUGUGACUGCGUACCUUUUGUAUAAUGGGUCAGCGACUUAUAUUCUGUAGCAAGGUUAACCGAAUAGGGGAGCCGGAGGGAAACCGAGUCUUAAUUGGGCGUUAAGUUGCAGGGUAUAGACCCGAAACCCGGUGAUCUAGCCAUGGGCAGGUUGAAGGUUGGGUAACACUAACUGGAGGACCGAACCGACUAAUGUUGAAAAAUUAGCGGAUGACCUGUGGCUGGGGGUGAAAGGCCAAUCAAACCGGGAGAUAGCUGGUUCUCCCCGAAAGCUAUUUAGGUAGCGCCUCGUGAAUUCAUCUCCGGGGGUAGAGCACUGUUUCGGCUAGGGGGCCAUCCCGGCUUACCAACCCGAUGCAAACUGCGAAUACCGGAGAAUGUUAUCACGGGAGACACACGGCGGGUGCUAACGUCCGUCGUGAAGAGGGAAACAACCCAGACCGCCAGCUAAGGUCCCAAAGUCAUGGUUAAGUGGGAAACGAUGUGGGAAGGCCCAGACAGCCAGGAUGUUGGCUUAGAAGCAGCCAUCAUUUAAAGAAAGCGUAAUAGCUCACUGGUCGAGUCGGCCUGCGCGGAAGAUGUAACGGGGCUAAACCAUGCACCGAAGCUGCGGCAGCGAACGUAUCACCCAAGACAACUUUACGGAGUUGACGAUUGACGGAGCGAAGCGACGUCAAAGCGUUCAUUAAAGUCGAGUUGGCUUAGGGAUACGUUCGUUGGGUAGGGGAGCGUUCUGUAAGCCUGUGAAGGUGGCCUGUGAGGGUUGCUGGAGGUAUCAGAAGUGCGAAUGCUGACAUAAGUAACGAUAAAGCGGGUGAAAAGCCCGCUCGCCGGAAGACCAAGGGUUCCUGUCCAACGUUAAUCGGGGCAGGGUGAGUCGACCCCUAAGGCGAGGCCGAAAGGCGUAGUCGAUGGGAAACGGGUUAAUAUUCCCGUACUUGGUGUUACUGCGAAGGGGGGACGGAGAAGGCUAUGUUGGCCGGGCGACGGUUGUCCCGGUUUAAGCGUGUAGGCUGGUUUUCCAGGCAAAUCCGGAAAAUCAAGGCUGAGGCGUGACGACGAGGCACUACGGUGCUGAAGCAACAAAUGCCCUGCUUCCAGGAAAAGCCUCUAAGCAUCAGGUAACAUCAAAUCGUACCCCAAACCGACACAGGUGGUCAGGUAGAGAAUACCAAGGCGCUUGAGAGAACUCGGGUGAAGGAACUAGGCAAAAUGGUGCCGUAACUUCGGGAGAAGGCACGCUGACACGUAGGUGAAGUGAUUUACUCAUGGAGCUGAAGUCAGUCGAAGAUACCAGCUGGCUGCAACUGUUUAUUAAAAACACAGCACUGUGCAAACACGAAAGUGGACGUAUACGGUGUGACGCCUGCCCGGUGCCGGAAGGUUAAUUGAUGGGGUCAGCGCAAGCGAAGCUCCUGAUCGAAGCCCCGGUAAACGGCGGCCGUAACUAUAACGGUCCUAAGGUAGCGAAAUUCCUUGUCGGGUAAGUUCCGACCUGCACGAAUGGCGUAAUGAUGGCCAGGCUGUCUCCACCCGAGACUCAGUGAAAUUGAACUCGCUGUGAAGAUGCAGUGUACCCGCGGCAAGACGGAAAGACCCCGUGAACCUUUACUAUAGCUUGACACUGAACAUUGAGCCUUGAUGUGUAGGAUAGGUGGGAGGCUUUGAAGCGUGGACGCCAGUCUGCGUGGAGCCGACCUUGAAAUACCACCCUUUAAUGUUUGAUGUUCUAACGUGGACCCGUAAUCCGGGUUGCGGACAGUGUCUGGUGGGUAGUUUGACUGGGGCGGUCUCCUCCUAAAGAGUAACGGAGGAGCACGAAGGUUGGCUAAUCCUGGUCGGACAUCAGGAGGUUAGUGCAAUGGCAUAAGCCAGCUUGACUGCGAGCGUGACGGCGCGAGCAGGUGCGAAAGCAGGUCAUAGUGAUCCGGUGGUUCUGAAUGGAAGGGCCAUCGCUCAACGGAUAAAAGGUACUCCGGGGAUAACAGGCUGAUACCGCCCAAGAGUUCAUAUCGACGGCGGUGUUUGGCACCUCGAUGUCGGCUCAUCACAUCCUGGGGCUGAAGUAGGUCCCAAGGGUAUGGCUGUUCGCCAUUUAAAGUGGUACGCGAGCUGGGUUUAGAACGUCGUGAGACAGUUCGGUCCCUAUCUGCCGUGGGCGCUGGAGAACUGAGGGGGGCUGCUCCUAGUACGAGAGGACCGGAGUGGACGCAUCACUGGUGUUCGGGUUGUCAUGCCAAUGGCACUGCCCGGUAGCUAAAUGCGGAAAAGAUAAGUGCUGAAAGCAUCUAAGCACGAAACUUGCCCCGAGAUGAGUUCUCCCUGAGACUAUAAGUCUCCUGAAGGAACGUUGAAGACGACGACGUUGAUAGGUCGGGUGUGUAAGCGUAGCGAUACGUUGAGCUAACCGGUACUAAUGAACCGUGAGGCUUAACCUU